GCGGGCGUGGCCGACUUGGGUGGAUUCAGAGCUUUGAAGCUCAGGGCCAGCGGCCCACAGAUUCCAUGAAAUCCUUGAAGGGGACCGGAACUCCAAAGAUCAACCGUGAAGGUGGAGGGAACUAUACAAGAGUGUGAACACUGGGAGGCAGGAAUUUGGAUCACCCUGAAGACUGUCUACCACAGUGUCUAUAAAGGUAAGAUGUAUGUGUGUUUUCUUAUUUUGAGAUUCUAGGUUUUGUUAAUACUCUAA
rnacentral:lncRNA from 1 species